UUUACAAGCUCUUAGCGGAGAAGCCCCGAGAGGGAAUCUGAGACACUAUUCCCAGCCCUACGGGGUGCAGCAGUCGGGAAACUUCUGCAAUGUACGAAAGUAUGACAGAGCAAGCCAGAGUGAUUCUCUAUAAUUGAGAAUCUUUUGUGAGAUGUAAGAAGUCUCACGAAUAAGGACUGGGAGAGACUGGUGCCAGCCGCCGCAGUAAUACCAGCGGUCCAAGUCGCAAUCACUUUUAUUGGGUCUAAAACAUCCGUAGCUUGUUAUGCAAGUCUCUUGUGAAAUCCGGCCUCUCAAGGGUCGAAGUGCAAGAGAUACUACAUGGCUAGAGACCGGGAGACGUAAGAAGUACGGUUAGGGUAGUGGUAAAAUACGUUGAUCCUUACUGGACUCACGAUAGCGAAGGCAUCUUACGAGAACGGAUCUGACAGUGAGGGAUGAAGGCUAGGGGCGCAAAACGGAUUAGAUACCCGUGUAGUCCUAGCAGUAAACACUGCACACUAAACAUCGGGGCCUCUUCGAGAGGUUUCGGUGCUGUAGGGAAGCCGGAGAGUGUGCUACCUGGGAAGUAUAGUCGCAAGGCCGAAACUUAA
rnacentral:rRNA from 1 species